CCAGAAGAGAGAGGCAUCGGAGGAAUGUCAGAAGAGACCUUGAAGAUGAUCCAGCCCAUACCUCCUCAUCUCACAGAACUGGGAAUGAAAGAAGAGGAAGCGAAUGCAGCCCUCAAACCCGCUGACGGCCAGAUUUUUAUUAUCUUUGCUCGAAUGGGCCCUAGGAAGGCAACAAGGGAUUCUUCAAAGAG